rnacentral:rRNA from 1 species
UAGGGAAUCUUCGGCAAUGGGGGGAACCCUGACCGAGCAACGCCGCGUGAGUGAAGAAGGUUUUCGGAUCGUAAAGCUCUGUUGUUAAGGAAGAACGAGUGUGAGAAUGGAAAGUUCAUGCUGUGACGGUACUUAACCAGAAAGGGACGGCUAACUACGUGCCAGCAGCCGCGGUAAUACGUAGGUGGCAAGCGUUGUCCGGAUUUAUUGGGCGUAAAGCGAGCGCAGGCGGUCAAUUAAGUCUGAUGUGAAAGCCCACGGCUCAACCGUGGAGGGUCAUUGGAAACUGGAAAACUUGAGUGCAGAAGAGGAAAGUGGAAUUCCAUGUGUAGCGGUGAAAUGCGCAGAGAUAUGGAGGAACACCAGUGGCGAAGGCGACUUUCUGGUCUGUAACUGACGCUGAUGUGCGAAAGCGUGGGGAUCAAACAGG